rnacentral:rRNA from 1 species
UAGAUGAACGCUGGCGGCAGGCCUAACACAUGCAAGUCGAGCGGUAGAGAGGUGCUUGCACCUCUUGAGAGCGGCGGACGGGUGAGUAAUGCCUAGGAAUCUGCCUGGUAGUGGGGGAUAACGCUCGGAAACGGACGCUAAUACCGCAUACGUCCUACGGGAGAAAGCAGGGGACCUUCGGGCCUUGCGCUAUCAGAUGAGCCUAGGUCGGAUUAGCUAGUUGGUGGGGUAAUGGCUCACCAAGGCGACGAUCCGUAACUGGUCUGAGAGGAUGAUCAGUCACACUGGAACUGAGACACGGUCCAGACUCCUACGGGAGGCAGCAGUGGGGAAUAUUGGACAAUGGGCGAAAGCCUGAUCCAGCCAUGCCGCGUGUGUGAAGAAGGUCUUCGGAUUGUAAAGCACUUUAAGUUGGGAGGAAGGGCAUUAACCUAAUACGUUAGUGUUUUGACGUUACCGACAGAAUAAGCACCGGCUAACUCUGUGCCAGCAGCCGCGGUAAUACAGAGGGUGCAAGCGUUAAUCGGAAUUACUGGGCGUAAAGCGCGCGUAGGUGGUUCGUUAAGUUGGAUGUGAAAUCCCCGGGCUCAACCUGGGAACUGCAUUCAAAACUGUCGAGCUAGAGUAUGGUAGAGGGUGGUGGAAUUUCCUGUGUAGCGGUGAAAUGCGUAGAUAUAGGAAGGAACACCAGUGGCGAAGGCGACCACCUGGACUGAUACUGACACUGAGGUGCGAAAGCGUGGGGAGCAAACAGGAUUAGAUACCCUGGUAGUCCACGCCGUAAACGAUGUCAACUAGCCGUUGGGAGCCUUGAGCUCUUAGUGGCGCAGCUAACGCAUCAAGUCGACCCCUGAAAGGCGGGCCA